CAGCUAGUUGGCGGGGUAACGGCCCACCAAGGCGAUGAUCGGUAGCCGGCCUGAGAGGGCGCACGGCCACACUGGAACUGAAACACGGUCCAGACUCCUACGGGAGGCAGCAGUGGGGAAUUUUGCGCAAUGGGGGAAACCCUGACGCAGCAACGCCGCGUGGAGGAUGAAGUCCCUUGGGACGUAAACUCCUUUCGACCGGGACGAUAAUGACGGUACCGGUGGAAGAAGCCCCGGCUAACUUCGUGCCAGCAGCCGCGGUAAUACGAGGGGGGCGAGCGUUGUUCGGAAUUAUUGGGCGUAAAGGGCGCGUAGGCGGUGCGGUAAGUCACCUGUGAAACCUCUGGGCUUAACUCAGAGCCUGCAUGCGAAACUGCCGUGCUGGACGGCG
rnacentral:rRNA from 1 species